rnacentral:rRNA from 1 species
AUUGAACGCUGGCGGCAGGCCUAACACAUGCAAGUCGAACGAGUGGCGGACGGGUGCAUCAUGUCUGGGCAACUGCCCGAUGGAGGGGGGUAACUACUGGAACCGGUAGCUCAUACCGCAUACCAUCGGAUGGUCCCAGAUGGGAUGAGCUAGUAGGUGGGGUAACGGCUCACCUAGGCGACGAUCCCUAGCUGGUCUGACAGGAUGACCAGCCACACUGGAACGGAGACACGGUCCAGACUCCUACGGGAGGCAGCAGUGGGGAAUAUUGCACAAUGGGCGCAAGCCUGAUGCAGCCAUGCCGCGUGUAUGAAGAAGGCCUUCGGGUUGUAAAGUACUUUCAGCGGGGAGGCGUUACCCGCAGAAGAAGCACCGGCUAACUCCGUGCCAGCAGCCGCGGUAAUUC